rnacentral:rRNA from 1 species
AGCAGCCGCGGUAAUUCCAGCUCCAAUAGCGUAUAUUAAAGUUGUUGCAGUUAAAAGCUCGUAGUUGAAUUUCGAGAUCAAUUUGUCGGUCGUGCCUCGGUACGUACUGGCAUUAUUGAUUUCUCCCUUCUGAAGAACCGCGAUGUCAUUAAUUUGGUGUCGUGGGGAAUCAGGGCUGUUACUUUGAAAAAAUUAGGGUGUUUAAAGCAGGCGCACGCUUGAAUACAUUAGCAUGGAAUAAUGAAAUAGGACGUUCGAUCCUAUUUUGUUGGUUUCUAGGAUUGACGUAAUGAUUAAUAGGGAUAGUUGGGGGCAUUAGUAUUCAAUUGUCAGAGGUGAAAUUCUUGGAUUUAUUGAAGACUAACUACUGCGAAAGCAUUUGCCAAGGAUGUUUUCAUUAAUCAAGAACGAAAGUAAGGGGAUCGAAGACGAUUAGAUACCGUCGUAGUCUUAACCAUAAACUAUGCCGGCUAGGGAUCGGAUGAUGUUAAUUUUUUAAUGACUCAUUCGGCGCCUUACGGGAAACCAAAGUGUUU